AUCCUGUCGCCUUUCCCACGGCUGGUGCCGUGGACGUGCUCACGCUUCCCUCGCAGUGCGGAGCUGAGCGCUCGCACUGUAGCGGUGAUCCGCAGAGGCGAGAGCUCCUCGAUGUUCUCCAUCACCGCAGCGCUGGCAGAAACGUCUGAGCGCCUUAUGAUGGAUGAUGUGAGACAGGUGUGACCAACAGAGCGAAACGGGACAACUCCCAUCAGGUCCGUCUGGGUUUCAUCCUGGAAAGUCCGGAGGAUUCAGAGGAGCACCUGAUCCUCUCUGGAGACCUCGAAGAGGAAGAUCUCCACAGUACAUCAGGGCUCUAAAAAGGACAAAAACGAGCUCUUACACCAACAGAUGUUGACACCAUGAAAGCUAAGCCUCAAACUGUAUCUCAGCUCAUCAUUACUUUUCUAUAUCACUGUGAAAGUGUGGACAUUAAAAUCAUCCUGCCUCUUUAACACCAAAGGAUGAUCGCUUUGGUUUAG